GCUCGGUUGCUGUGGUUGCAGGCCCUGCCCGCCUGCGCGCCCGCUGACAGGGAGGCUUAGGGCGGAGGGAAGCUGGUCCGUUGGUCUGUCGGGAACGAGG
rnacentral:pre_miRNA from 1 species